rnacentral:rRNA from 1 species
CAUUGCACAAUGGGCGAAAGCCUGAUGCAGCGACGCCGCGUGAGGGAUGACGGCCUUCGGGUUGUAAACCUCUUUCAGUAGGGAAGAAGCGAAAGUGACGGUACCUGCAGAAGAAGCGCCGGCUAACUACGUGCCAGCAGCCGCGGUAAUACGUAGGGCGCAAGCGUUAUCCGGAUUUAUUGGGCGUAAAGAGCUCGUAGGCGGUUUGUCGCGUCUGCCGUGAAAGUCCGAGGCUCAACCUCGGAUCUGCGGUGGGUACGGGCAGACUAGAGUGAUGUAGGGGAGGACUGGAAUUCCUGGUGUAAGCGGUGAAAUGCGCAGAUAUCAGGAGGAACACCGAUGGCGAAGGCAGGUCUCUGGGCAUCUACUGACGCUGAGGAGCGAAAGCAUGGGGAGCGAACAGGAUUAGAUACCCUGGUAGUCCAUGCCGUAAACGUUGGGCACUAGGUGUGGGGAACAUUCCACGUUUUCCGCGCCGUAGCUAACGCAUUAAGUGCCCCGCCUGGGGAGUACGGCCGCAAGGCUAAAACUCAAAGGAAUUGACGGGGGCCCGCACAAGCGGCGGAGCAUGCGGAUUAAUUCGAUGCAACGCGAAGAACCUUACCAAGCUUGACAUGUUCCAGACCGCCUCAGAGAUGGGGUUUCCCUUCGGGGCUGGUCACAAGGUGGUGCAUGGUUGUCGUCAGCUCGUGUCGUGAGAUGUUGGGUUAAGUCCCGCAACGAGCGCAACCCUUUGUUCCAUGUUGCCAGCACGUAAAGGUGGGGACUCAUGGGAGACUGCCCGGGGUCAACUUCGGAGGAAGGUGGGGAUGACGUCAAAUCAUUAUUCCCCCUUUAUGUYUUUGGGCUUUAAGCCAUGCUUAAAAAUGGGCCGGUACCAA